rnacentral:rRNA from 1 species
UACGUAGGGGGCAAGCGUUGUCCGGAAUCAUUGGGCGUAAAGCGCGUGUAGGCGGCUCGGUAAGUCCGCUCUGAAAGUCCAGGGCUCAACCCUGGGAUGCGGGUGGAUACUGCCGGGCUCGAGUCCGGAAGAGGCGAGUGGAAUUCCCGGUGUAGCGGUGAAAUGCGCAGAUAUCGGGAGGAACACCAAUGGCGAAGGCAGCUCGCUGGGACGUGACUGACGCUGAGAACGCGAAACGUGGGGAGCAAACAGG